AUAAGAUCAGACCUUCAGCUGUUCCUGAGGAGAUGGAUUUCUGAAGUUCUGCUCGCACCUGCUAAGCAUGCCUCUUCCUAGGGUGAGCUGAUUGGACAAGGCAUGGAUACCAUUUGGAGAGAGGAGCCACUCAGAUUUUUUCUCUUGGUGAUGAUACAGACCGAUGAGAAACCAGAAGCCUGGGAAAGGUUAAGUAAUUAGAGCGAGGCCAUGCAACAAUGAAAAGCAUUCAGAUGUUUGACCUCCAAGACCUAUCAGCAAACGCCAUCAGAGAACACAUCUAUUUCCUGUGGUCUAUGCUGGGGAAAGCUACUGAGCCUGAACAGAAAGCCAUCUGAAUCAGGAGUGCCUGGCCUGGCUUACGGGAAGGCAACGUUAUCUACCACAAGGUUAUUAGGACAACAAUGGACUUAAGGCCCAGCCACUACUCAAAAAAUGCCUGCUUCUCAAUUCAAUUUAGUUGAAUGCAGUCUCAUUUAAUUUAGUGCAGCUAUCAAGUGCUCACCGCAGACCCUGGAUGGGCUCUGAGAGGCCACAGAGCAAGGCAAAGCCCUUCUUGGGGUAGGACCAGAUGCUCAGAGCCAGGCCACAGGACAGGAAUUCCGAGGACAGCUCUGAAGCUCUUGGGAAUAUUCUCCAGCUCCUUUGCUAGUCCUUUGUCAGUGAUUAGCUAAGUAGAGCUGUGAA